GGUGAUCUAGCCAUGGGCAGGUUGAAGGUUGGGUAACACUAACUGGAGGACCGAACCGACUAAUGUUGAAAAAUUAGCGGAUGACUUGUGGCUGGGGGUGAAAGGCCAAUCAAACCGGGAGAUAGCUGGUUCUCCCCGAAAGCUAUUUAGGUAGCGCCUCGUGAAUUCAUCUCCGGGGGUAGAGCACUGUUUCGGCAAGGGGGUCAUCCCGACUUACCAACCCGAUGCAAACUGCGAAUACCGGAGAAUGUUAUCACGGGAGACACACGGCGGGUGCUAACGUCCGUCGUGAAGAGGGAAACAACCCAGACCGCCAGCUAAGGUCCCAAAGUCAUGGUUAAGUGGGAAACGAUGUGGGAAGGCCCAGACAGCCAGGAUGUUGGCUUAGAAGCAGCCAUCAUUUAAAGAAAGCGUAAUAGCUCACUGGUCGAGUCGGCCUGCGCGGAAGAUGUAACGGGGCUAAACCAUGCACCGAAGCUGCGGCAGCGACGCUUAUGCGUUGUUGGGUA
rnacentral:rRNA from 1 species